rnacentral:tRNA from 1 species
UGUGGCUCAGUUGGUAGAGCACUUACCUAGCAUGCAUGGAACCCUGGGUUUGAUCCCCAGCA